UACAGAGGUCUCAAGCGUUGUUCGGAUUCAUUGGGCGUAAAGGGUGCGUAGGCGGCGCGGUAAGUCGGGUGUGAAAUCUCGGGGCUUAACUCCGAAACUGCAUUCGAUACUGCCGUGCUUGAGGACGGGAGAGGAGACUGGAAUUUACGGUGUAGCGGUGAAAUGCGUAGAUAUCGGAAGGAAGACCAGUGGCGAAGGCGGGUCUCUGGACAGUUCCUGACGCUGAGGCACGAAGGCCAGGGGAGCAAACGGG
rnacentral:rRNA from 1 species